rnacentral:rRNA from 1 species
UUCCUACGGGACGCAGCAGUGAGGAAUAUUGGUCAAUGGGCGAGAGCCUGAACCAGCCAAGUCGCGUGAGGGAAGACGGUCCUAUGGAUUGUAAACCUCUUUUGUCGGGGAGAAAAAAGGCCUCGUGAGGCCACAAGUGAGAGUACCCGAAGAAAAAGCAUCGGCUAACUCCGUGCCAGCAGCCGCGGUAAUACGGAGGAUGCGAGCGUUAUCCGGAUUUAUUGGGUUUAAAGGGUGCGUAGGCGGACUGGAAAGUCAGCGGUAAAAUCGAGAGGCUCAAACUCUUUCCGCCGUUGAAACUGUCG